rnacentral:rRNA from 1 species
CCCUUAGAUGUUCUGGGCCGCACGCGCGCUACACUGAUGCAUUCAACGAGCCUAUCCUUGACCGACAGGUCCGGGUAAUCUUUGAAUCUGCAUCGUGACGGGGAUAGAUUAUUGCAAUUAUUAAUCUUCAACGAGGAAUGCCUAGUAGGCGCAAGUCAUCAGCUUGCGUCGAUUACGUCCCUGCCCUUUGUACACACCGCCCGUCGCUCCUACCGAUUGGGUGUGCUGGUGAAAUGUUCGGAUCGGCCGUUUGUCGCGGUUUCCGCGUCAUGUGGCUGAGAAUUUCAUUAAACCCUCCCACCUAGAGGAAGGAGAAGUCGUAACA